rnacentral:lncRNA from 1 species
CAUGGAGGAGCAGUAUGGUGACCGAUAUGCUCAGAAACUGCAGCAGAGGCUGGACCAUUACUUACAGCAGCUGGAAUCUGCACUGCCACAACUGACAUGUCUAGAUCAGGUAAUGUACAAGGGUCUGUGAAUCUUUAAACCGGUGUGUAGGUAUAUCUGUGUCAGUGUGUCUGUUUGUUUUGGAGGGAUCGAUGCACUCAUGCGUGUACGUGCGGUAUGUGCGCACGUGAGAGAAUAAUGUCAGUUGUGAAAAAGUGCAGUGAUUGUAUACUGAACAUCGGCAGGUGCUAAGGAGAGAGUGGCCAAUGACGGAAGGGGAAGAACUGAUGUUGGACCUGCUGGCCUCCAGCUCCAACAGUCUUCCUGUGGCUUUGGAAAGGCUAUUGCAAUGUGCUUUGAUUGAUCACAGCAGCCUUUCAAACACCCCCAGUUCACCACACAUCCAACCCUCUGCUCUUGGAGACCUGAGCCCCACCUUUUCCCCAAUCACCGUCAUAUAUUCCCAGCAGAGUAGAAAGCAUGGAUCCCGCUCUCACGACUGUUGCAAGGGAGACGUAAACAGAAACUCCACACAAAAGCACCUGAGCUGCUCUCAGGAGCCUCAGUCUGCCAAACAACAGGCUACCUUAGAGACCAGGCUAAGGGAGGAGUGGAGAGAGGACUUCGACAGCCCUCUCUUGCUGGAGGAGGAGGAGAACUCAAGUGAACAGAGCUGGGAUCACGGCCAAGAAGGAGGAGGAGGAGAAAGGAGCUUGGAAAAAGAUCGAAGAAAAGAAGAGGUGGAGGUGGAGAGGACGGAGAAGGAAGUGCUGGAGAAGAUGGGGGGAGAUCGAAGAGGAGAAGAGGAAGAGGAGGAAGUGGCGGAGAUGGAGGAGGAAGGAUGGAUGGAGGUGGAGAGGAUGGAGGACUGCGGGGGAGAGGCGGAGGUGGUGUUCAUGUCGGGCGGGAGACAGAUGUGCUCCACACAUCACACGAUGAUGAAGAGCAUCCUGCGGGAGUGCUCACAGGAGCUCCUCACACAAGGAGGGCACACUCCCCUCCAGUCGGACACCCCCACCCUCCCCAGCCAAGACCCCGUCCCCGCCGAGGCCUCCACCCCCAAGGAGGCGGCGGCGCGGAGUGGACGGGGUUGCUGGCAGGGUGGAGCGAGUCCUGUGUGCAUGCUGAGGUUCUCCGCAGAGACCCAGGCCCUGUUGAUCCGGUCCCCGCUGCUUCAGCCGUUAGUGCUGCUCACGCGACUCUCUCCACAGCACUGCAGGAGGGGCGCAGUAGGAGCAGAGGAGAUUGUGAGCCUUUCUGGGGAAGAGGAGGAAGAGAAGGAUGAGGAUGAAGAGAGUAUGUUGUUUGAUGUGAACUCUUUGUAUACUGACUCCUCCACUGAGAGUGAGUCGGACAAUUCUGACUCAGAUUAUGUGCCAUCGUCCAAUAAGAGAGAAGCAGUACGAUGAGUAUUGUGUGUGUGUGUGUGUGUGUGUGUUUGUGUGUGAGAAUUACAUAUAUGAAUAUGUAUGUUAUGUAAGCACAGAUCUGUUUUUAUUUGAUCUUAUCUUAAUGGACAUGUGUACAUCUGUUUGUUUGCUGCAGUAAUUUAUUAGCAAUCUUACCUCAUUUCUACUAAACUUCUACUUAAAUUUUUUUUUAUUAACUCUGCGUUAAAUCUAUUGGUUUAUGUUUUGAGUGCAAUCCUCCCCAAUCAAGCUGAUGAAGUGAAAUGUACUGUAUGUCUGUCAGAUGUGGGUGAAGUCACUUUUUCACUUGGCUCUUGUUACAUACAGAACUCCACUCAGUGUCAACCCACCAAUCAGGGCAGCCCUGUUUAUAUCAUCCAAUCACUGUGCAGGUUUUCAGUGGGUAUACUGUACCUCAGACAUACUGACCAGCAUUUCUAAAUUUUGUAAAUUGUUGGAUUUAGAGAAAAACAAGUGAGAAAAACUGAAAAAGAGGACAGCCAGGGAGAUCAAGUGAACGGGAGGAGAGUGGGUGGGAGAGGUAUAGGGGGACGAGGGAGAAGGUAAUCACACAAGUCCAUUGUACGUGUACAUGU